UACGAAGGGGGCUAGCGUUGCUCGGAAUUACUGGGCGUAAAGGGCGCGUAGGCGGCGCGGUAAGUCACUUGUGAAAUCUCUGAGCUUAACUCAGAACGGCCAAGUGAUACUGCAGUGCUAGAGUGUGGAAGGGGCAAUCGGAAUUCUUGGUGUAGCGGUGAAAUGCGUAGAUAUCAAGAGGAACACCUGAGGUGAAGACGGGUUGCUGGGCCAACACUGACGCUGAGGCGCGAAAGCCAGGGGAGCAAACGGG
rnacentral:rRNA from 1 species